GACGAACGCUGGCGGCGGGCUUAACACAUGCAAGUCGAACGGAAAGGCCCUGCUUUUGUGGGGUGCUCGAGUGGCGAACGGGUGAGUAACACGUGAGUAACCUGCCCUUGACUUUGGGAUAACUUCAGGAAACUGGGGCUAAUACCGGAUAGGAGCUCCUGCUGCAUGGUGGGGGUUGGAAAGUUUCGGCGGUUGGGGAUGGACUCGCGGCUUAUCAGCUUGUUGGUGGGGUAGUGGCUUACCAAGGAUUUGACGGGUAGCCGGCCUGAGAGGGUGACCGGCGACAUUGGGAAUGAGAGACGGGACAGACUCCUACGGGAGGCAGCAGGGGGGAAUAUUGCACAAUGGGCGGAAGCCGGAUGCAGGAACGCCGCGUGCGGGAUGACGGCUUUAGGGUUGUAAACCGCUUUCGCCUGUGACCAAGCGUGAGUGACGGUAAUGGGUAAAGAAGCACCGGCUAACUACGUG
rnacentral:rRNA from 1 species